UUCGAUUAAGCCAUGCGAGUUAAUGUUCUUCGUGAACAUAGCAGACUGCUCAGUAACACGUGGAUAACCUGCCCUUAGGACUGGCAUAACCCCGGGAAACUGGGGAUAAGGCCGGAUAGAUCAUAAAUGCUGGAAUGCUUUAUGAUUGAAAGGUUUCGACCGCCUUAGGAUGGAUCUGCGGCCUAUCAGGUUGUAGUGGGUGUAAUGUACCUACUAGCCUACGACGGGUACGGGUUGUGGAAGCAAGAGCCCGGAGAUGGAUUCUGAGACAUGAAUCCAGGCCCUACGGGGCGCAGCAGGCGCGAAAACUUUACAAUGCGGGAAACCGUGAUAAGGGAACACUGAGUGCUAGCAUUUAUGUUAGCUGUCCACAUGUGUAAAUAGCAUGUGAUAGCAAGGGCUGGGCAAGACCGGUGCCAGCCGCCGCGGUAACACCGGCAGCCCGAGUGGUGAUCACUAUUAUUGGGUCUAAAGGGUCCGUAGCCGGUUUAAUCAGUCUUCUGGGAAAUCUAAUCGCUUAACUAUUAGGCUUCCAGGGGAUACUGUUAGACUUGGGACCGGGAGAGGUAAGAGGUACUGCAGGGGUAGGAGUGAAAUCUUGUAAUCCCUGUGAGACCACCAGUGGCGAAGGCGUCUUACCAGAACGGGUCCGACGGUGAGGGACGAAAGCUGGGGGCACGAACCGGAUUAGAUACCCGGGUAGUCCCAGCUGUAAACGAUGCUCGUUAGGUGUCAGGAACGGUGCGACUGUUUCUGGUGCCGGAGGGAAGCCGUGAAACGAGCCACCUGGGAAGUAC
rnacentral:rRNA from 1 species